rnacentral:rRNA from 1 species
AACGAACGCUGGCGGCAGGCUUAACACAUGCAAGUCGAGCGCCCUAGCAAUAGGGAGUGGCAGACGGGUGAGUAACGCGUGGGAACCUACCUUGUAGUGCGGAAUAGCCCCGGGAAACUGGGAUUAAUACCGCAUACGCCCUUAGGGGGAAAGAUUUAUCGCUAUAAGAUGGGCCCGCGUUAGAUUAGCUAGUUGGUGGGGUAAUGGCCUACCAAGGCGACGAUCUAUAGCUGGUCUGAGAGGACGACCAGCCACACUGGGACUGAGACACGGCCCAGACUCCUACGGGAGGCAGCAGUGGGGAACAUUGGACAAUGGGCGAAAGCCUGAUCCAGCCAUGCCGCGUGAGUGAUGAAGGCCUUCGGGUUGUAAAGCUCUUUUAGUAAGGAGGAUAAUGACGGUACCUACAGAAAAAGUCCCGGCUAACUUCGUGCCAGCAGCCGCCGUAA